GCUACGAGAGAGCCACUUAUGGUGCCUGUCCUUCCUUUGCAGAUUGAGGGUCACAGAGGAUGCAGAACAACCCAGGCAUGCCACCACCACACGUAGCAGUUUGCCCACCUGCCCCUCCAGGACACCGUGGUCCCGACGUUCCACCAGAUCCACACCAUAACCACCCUCCUGGCCCUUGCCCACCAGGGCAGCAUCCCCCUGGGCACCAUCCCCAUGGGGACCAUCCCCAUGGGCAUCCCCCCCAUGGGGACCAUCCCCAUGGGCCUCCCCAUCAAGGACCAGGAAGGCAUGAGUGCCCCCCUCACUGCAAUCAGAAGCACCAUUAGAAGCACAAGAAGAGUCACUCCAAGAAGCAUGGAGACAAGCACUCCAGCAGCUCAAGCAGCAGUUCUGACUCUGACUGAAGAAGACAUCUCCCUACCUUCAUGACACAGAAUUGAUGAAAUAAGAAGCUGAGUGUCCCACCCUCUUUCUCCGAGGGUGGUGUUUUGCCUGCUAAGUGAUUUUUCUUCUUUUAAGCUUGUAAAUUCUUUGACCUAGAAUCACUGUGAGAUGAUGGGCAGCAGCUCCACCCUGUCUUUCAGGAGAGCCCACUGAAAGACAUCCCCCGGGCUGAAUGGGGAGAGCCCGCUGAAAGACAUCCCCAAGGCUGCAUGGGGAGCAUCAUGUGCUGGUUUGCAGUCUGCUGGCGUCCCUAUCUUUUUCUCUGUGCAAUA